CAGAGAUCACACAACUGCACUCCAGCCUGGGCAACAGAGCGAGACUCCAUCUCAAAAAAAAAAAAAAAAGACUUGGCUCCUCACUUGUAUUGUGGGAAUCCCAGCCUAAAUUGGACAUGUGGAUGUUGAGCAAUAGAGGACAGACAAACAAAGGAAUCUCCAGACCCUGCAGGACCCAAGGCAGCAGCCCACGAGUGGAUCCUAAAGGAUUUUCAUCAGCUGCAAGUCUGGGGUUACUAGAGCCUGACCAAAAUUCUCUACUGACCAGAGACAGACAGACAGACCUGUUCCCUGUUCCCCAACUUCCAGUGGUGCUGCGCAUGGAGACGCUGAGAUCCACAGAGUCAUCCCACCAAAACCCCCCCCAGGAUGUAUGUGAGACCACUGGACUCAUUGGCACUGGCAAAUAAGAAGAUGGCCAGAAAGCAAUCAACACCGAACGCCCACUGCGUGCUUGGCACUGGGCCAGACUCUGCUGGGGGAGACUGGAGGAAAGGCCCAUUUCACUGGUCUUGAGCUCUACAUACCAUGUUAAGCCAGAGAGCUGUCCCUUCUCCCAGUGCCAGAGGAGGCUUGGAUUGAGCACCCAUGCUCUAUGGACAACAGCAAGUUGAGCAGACCUUAACAUCAUUCCCGGGGAGGCAACGGGUCAUCUGCUGGCUGGGGUUAUCAAAGGCCCCAUCUCCUACUCCUCUCCCAUGCCCCACAGUGAAGAGCCCCAGAGCUGGCUGUGGUUAUGAAGCCGGCUGCCAUGUGGGCGACCUGGAGUCAGAGCACGGGGCAGUCACAUAUGACAAUUGGUUGAAAUAUCACAGCCACUCUCCCCCCACCCCCACUGGUGAUCUAUGGGCUGCGUGCCCUGUAAAAAUUAUUUAUCGGGGCCUCAGAGUGUCCUGAUUUAGUGCCGCUGCCUCUGGGGCCUUGGGGCCUGCCUGUCCACCAGAGUCUAAGCGUUAAACGACGCUAAAAAGUUAAACAGCCAACGCUGGGGGCUCACUCGAGGAGGCACCAUAAAGCUGUCGGAGCUGCUUAAAUCAGGAGCGAGGAUUCCCUGGGACGUCUUCUCUCCAUACGCCGCAAGCCAAGAAGGCUCUCCUUACCCCUCUGCCACUCACCCAUACCCAGAAGCCCACAGAGGGCAGGGGACACGUGGGCCGGGGGCCUGGAACAGAGCCCAAAAGGAGGCCACGGAUGACCUCCUCUGCAGGGCUUUCUCCAGCAGAACAGGGGCCGUGGCUCAAGAGGGUAGGGGUCAUGUUGUCCAGCUCACCAACUCUGGGCAGGGGUCUCCUUGUUCCGGUCCAGUUUUUAAAGACUUCCAACAAAAGGCACUGCCAAAGUCUCUCCCAGGGGCCCCUGGGGAGAAGUUGUUUCCCAAGUCUGUCUCACUUCAAUCCACGCUUCUGUGUGUUGAAUCCACUGGAACUCAGUGUCUUCCCACUCAGGUUUGGAGAGGCUGUGCUGGCCACACCAGCCUGUGACUUCUUGCCUCCUUUCACCCCUCCACACCCACUUGCAUGGCUCUCUGAGGAACAGAGCCCCACCCUUCCAUCACCACCCUCCGCCAACGCACCCCUGGGUGCUGGCAUAACACGCAAGCUUCACAGAUGGCUUUUCUCAGCUGAAGCCCAGUCCCUGCUGCCACCACCCGGCCGCCGAGCAAGAGGGAAGGUGGGUCUCUGCAUGCUGCCUAUCACACCUUCUUUCAGCAGCAAUAAAACUCACUCUUAAAAC
ensembl:lncRNA LINC02381 long intergenic non-protein coding RNA 2381